UCGAGUAUCUUUACUGCCAGUGUGGAUAAAUGUAAAAAUAAAAUCCCAUAUUUAUGCCUCCAGAGAUUGCAUAUUUGACCAUAUUUGAGGUACUGUAAAAACAUAUUGCUCUAUAAUUCAUAACUAUGUAUGAUAUAUUUGACUUCCACACGUCUAAGACUACACACACACUCAAUAUCAAGCAUUUUUACUGUAGCAAUUUGGAGAAAUUCAACAAUAAAAGUCCUUAUUUUUACCUCCAAGUGGCACACUUUACCAUAUUUGAGCUACUGUAAAAUAAUAUUGCUCAAUAUUUCAUGGCUAUGGAUGAUGUACUUGACUUCUACACAUCUAAGACUACACACACACUCAAUAUCAAGCAUUUUUACUGUAGCAAUUUGGAGAAAUUCAACAAUAAAAGUCCUUAUUUUUACCUCCAAGUGGCACAUUUUACCAUAUUUGAGCUACUGUAAAAUAAUAUUGCUCAAUAUUUCAUGGCUAUGGAUGGUAUAUCUGACUUCUACACAUCUAACACUACACAUAUACUCAAUAUCAAACACUUUUACUGCAGCAAUUUGGAGAAAUUCAACAAUAAAUGUCCUUAUUUUUACGUCAAAGUGGCACAUUUGACCAUAUUUGAGCUACUGUAAAAUAAUAUUGCUCAAUAUUUCAUCGCUAUGCAUGAUGUACUUGACUUCUACACAUCUAAGACUACACACACACUCAAUAUCAAGCAUUUUUACUGUACCAAUUUGGAGAAACCUAAGAAUAAAUGUCCAUAUUUGUACCUCCAAGUGGCACAUUUCACCCUAUUUGAACUACUGUAAAAUAAUAUUGCUCAAUAUUUCAUGGCUAUGGAUGGUAUAUCUGACUUCUACACAUCUAAGACUAAACAUAUACUCAAUAUCAAGCACUUUUACUGUACCAAUUUGGAGAAAUCUAAGAACAAAUGUCCAUAUUUGUACGUCCAAGUGGCAUAUUUCACAAUACUUGAGCUACUGUAAAAUAAUAUUGCUCAAUAUUUCAUGGCUAUGGAUGGUGUACUUGACUUCUACACAUCUGACACUGCACAUAUACUCAAUAUCAAACACUUUUACUGCAGCAAUUUGGAGAAAUUCAACAAUAAAGGUACUUAUUUUUA